AGAGUUUGAUCAUGGCUCAGAUUGAACGCUGGCGGCAGGCCUAACACAUGCAAGUCGAGCGGUAGAGAGGUGCUUGCACCUCUUGAGAGCGGCGGACGGGUGAGUAAUACCUAGGAAUCUGCCUGGUAGUGGGGGAUAACGUUCGGAAACGGACGCUAAUACCGCAUACGUCCUACGGGAGAAAGCAGGGGACCUUCGGGCCUUGCGCUAUCAGAUGAGCCUAGGUCGGAUUAGCUAGUUGGUGAGGUAAUGGCUCACCAAGGCUACGAUCCGUAACUGGUCUGAGAGGAUGAUCAGUCACACUGGAACUGAGACACGGUCCAGACUCCUACGGGAGGCAGCAGUGGGGAAUAUUGGACAAUGGGCGAAAGCCUGAUCCAGCCACGCCGCGUGUGUGAAGAAGGUCUUCGGAUUGUAAAGCACUUUAAGUUGGGAGGAAGGGCAUUAACCUAAUACGUUAGUGCUUUGACGUUACCGACAGAAUAAGCACCGGCUAACUCUGUGCCAGCAGCCGCGGUAAUACAGAGGGUGCAAGCGUUAAUCGGAAUUACUGGGCGUAAAGCGCGCGUAGGUGGUUUGUUAAGUUGAAUGUGAAAUCCCCGGGCUCAACCUGGGAACUGCAUCCAAAACUGGCAAGCUAGAGUAUGGUAGAGGGGGGGUGGGGGAAAUUUCCUGGGUGUAGCCGGGGGAAAUGCGUAGAAUAUAGGAAGGAACACCAGGUGGGCGAAUGGCGACCAUCUGGACUGAUACUGACACUGAUGUGCGAAAGCGUGGGGAGCAAACAGGAUUAGAUACCCUGGUAGUCACGCGUAACGAUGUCACUAGCCGUUGGGAGUCUGAACUCUUAGUGGCGCAGCUAACGCAUU
rnacentral:rRNA from 1 species